rnacentral:rRNA from 1 species
GAGACCCACGCCAACAGUUGCCAGCUCGUCCUCCGGGAUGGAGGGGACACUGUUGGGACCGCCUCUGCUAAAGAGGAGGAAGGAAUGGGCAACGGUAGGUCAGUAUGCCCCGAAUGUCCCGGGCUACACGCGGGCUACAAUGGUUGGUACAAUGGGUAUCUACCCCGAAAGGGGAUGGAAAUCUCCUAAAGCCAAUCUUAGUUCGGAUUGAGGGCUGCAACUCGCCCUCAUGAAGCUGGAAUCCGUAGUAAUCGCGUUUCAACAGAACGCGGUGAAUAC